rnacentral:rRNA from 1 species
GUCAGGUAACCAGGAACCGUACCCCAAACCGACACAGGUGGUUGGGUAGAGAAUACCAAGGCGCUUGAGAGAACUCGGGUGAAGGAACUAGGCAAAAUGGCACCGUAACUUCGGGAGAAGGUGCGCCGGUGAGGGUGAAGGACUUGCUCCGUAAGCUCAUGCCGGUCGAAGAUACCAGGCCGCUGCGACUGUUUAUUAAAAACACAGCACUCUGCAAACACGAAAGUGGACGUAUAGGGUGUGACGCCUGCCCGGUGCCGGAAGGUUAAUUGAUGGGGUUAGCUAACGCGAAGCUCUUGAUCGAAGCCCCGGUAAACGGCGGCCGUAACUAUAACGGUCCUAAGGUAGCGAAAUUCCUUGUCGGGUAAGUUCCGACCUGCACGAAUGGCGUAACGAUGGCGGCGCUGUCUCCACCCGAGACUCAGUGAAAUUGAAAUCGCUGUGAGGAUGCAGUGUAUCCGCGGCUAGACGGAAAGACCCCGUGAACCUUUACUAUAGCUUUGCACUGGACUUUGAAUUUGCUUGUGUAGGAUAGGUGGGAGGCUUUGAAGUGUGGACGCCAGUCUGCAUGGAGCCAACCUUGAAAUACCACCCUGGCAACUUUGAGGUUCUAACUCAGGCCCGUUAUCCGGAUCGAGGACAGUGUAUGGUGGGUAGUUUGACUGGGGCGGUCUCCUCCUAAAGAGUAACGGAGGAGUACGAAGGUGCGCUCAGACCGGUCGGAAAUCGGUCGUAGAGUAUAAAGGCAAAAGCGCGCUUGACUGCGAGACAGACACGUCGAGCAGGUACGAAAGUAGGUCUUAGUGAUCCGGUGGUUCUGUAUGGAAGGGCCAUCGCUCAACGGAUAAAAGGUACUCCGGGGAUAACAGGCUGAUACCGCCCAAGAGUUCAUAUCGACGGCGGUGUUUGGCACCUCGAUGUCGGCUCAUCACAUCCUGGGGCUGAAGCCGGUCCCAAGGGUAUGGCUGUUCGCCAUUUAAAGUGGUACGCGAGCUGGGUUUAGAACGUCGUGAGACAGUUCGGUCCCUAUCUGCCGUGGACGUUUGAGAUUUGAGAGGGGCUGCUCCUAGUACGAGAGGACCGGAGUGGACGAACCUCUGGUGUUCCGGUUGUCACGCCAGUGGCAUUGCCGGGUAGCUAUGUUCGGAAUAGAUAACCGCUGAAAGCAUCUAAGCGGGAAACUAGCCUCAAGAUGAGAUCUCACUGGAACCUUGAGUUCCCUGAAGGGCCGUCGAAGACUACGACGUUGAUAGGUUGGGUGUGUAAGCGCUGUGAGGCGUUGAGCUAACCAAUACUAAUUGCCCGUGAGGCUUGACC